UUAAGCGACUAAGCGUACACGGUGGAUGCCCUGGCAGUCAGAGGCGAUGAAGGACGUGCUAAUCUGCGAAAAGCGUCGGUAAGGUGAUAUGAACCGUUAUAACCGGCGAUGUCCGAAUGGGGAAACCCAGUGCAAUUCGUUGCACUAUCGUUAACUGAAUACAUAGGUUAACGAGGCGAACCGGGGGAACUGAAACAUCUAAGUACCCCGAGGAAAAGAAAUCAACCGAGAUUCCCCCAGUAGCGGCGAGCGAACGGGGAGCAGCCCAGAGUCUGAAUCAGCUUGUGUGUUAGUGGAACGGUCUGGAAAGUCCGACGGUACAGGGUGAUAGUCCCGUACACCAAAAUGCACAGGCUGUGAACUCGAAGAGUAGGGCGGGACACGUGGUAUCCUGUCUGAAUAUGGGGGGACCAUCCUCCAAGGCUAAAUACUCCUGACUGACCGAUAGUGAACCAGUACCGUGAGGGAAAGGCGAAAAGAACCCCGGCGAGGGGAGUGAAAAAGAACCUGAAACCGUGUACGUACAAGCAGUGGGAGCACCUUCGGGUGUGACUGCGUACCUUUUGUAUAAUGGGUCAGCGACUUAUAUUCUGUAGCAAGGUUAACCGUAUAGGGGAGCCGCAGGGAAACCGAGUCUUAACUGGGCGUUAAGUUGCAGGGUAUAGACCCGAAACCCGGUGAUCUAGCCAUGGGCAGGUUGAAGGUUGGGUAACACUAACUGGAGGACCGAACCGACUAAUGUUGAAAAAUUAGCGGAUGACUUGUGGCUGGGGGUGAAAGGCCAAUCAAACCGGGAGAUAGCUGGUUCUCCCCGAAAGCUAUUUAGGUAGCGCCUCGUGAAUUCAUCUUCGGGGGUAGAGCACUGUUUCGGCUAGGGGGUCAUCCCGACUUACCAACCCGAUGCAAACUACGAAUACCGAAGAAUGUUAUCACGGGAGACACACGGCGGGUGCUAACGUCCGUCGUGAAGAGGGAAACAACCCAGACCGCCAGCUAAGGUCCCAAAGUCAUGGUUAAGUGGGAAACGAUGUGGGAAGGCACAGACAGCCAGGAUGUUGGCUUAGAAGCAGCCAUCAUUUAAAGAAAGCGUAAUAGCUCACUGGUCGAGUCGGCCUGCGCGGAAGAUGUAACGGGGCUAAACCAUGCACCGAAGCUGCGGCAGCGACACUAUGUGUUGUUGGGUAGGGGAGCGUUCUGUAAGCCUGCGAAGGUGACCUGUGAGGGUUGCUGGAGGUAUCAGAAGUGCGAAUGCUGACAUAAGUAACGAUAAAGCGGGUGAAAAGCCCGCUCGCCGGAAGACCAAGGGUUCCUGUCCAACGUUAAUCGGGGCAGGGUGAGUCGACCCCUAAGGCGAGGCCGAAAGGCGUAGUCGAUGGGAAACAGGUUAAUAUUCCUGUACUUGGUGUUACUGCGAAGGGGGGACGGAGAAGGCUAUGUUAGCCGGGCGACGGUUGUCCCGGUUUAAGCAUGUAGGCUGAUUGUCCAGGCAAAUCCGGAUAAUCAAGGCUGAGGUGUGAUGACGAGGCACUACGGUGCUGAAGUAACAAAUGCCCUGCUUCCAGGAAAAGCCUCUAAGCAUCAGGUAACAUCAAAUCGUACCCCAAACCGACACAGGUGGUCAGGUAGAGAAUACCAAGGCGCUUGAGAGAACUCGGGUGAAGGAACUAGGCAAAAUGGUGCCGUAACUUCGGGAGAAGGCACGCUGGUGUGUAGGUGAAGUCCCUGCGGAUGGAGCUGAGACCAGUCGAAGAUACCAGCUGGCUGCAACUGUUUAUUAAAAACACAGCACUGUGCAAACACGAAAGUGGACGUAUACGGUGUGACGCCUGCCCGGUGCCGGAAGGUUAAUUGAUGGGGUUAUCCGUAAGGAGAAGCUCUUGAUCGAAGCCCCGGUAAACGGCGGCCGUAACUAUAACGGUCCUAAGGUAGCGAAAUUCCUUGUCGGGUAAGUUCCGACCUGCACGAAUGGCGUAAUGAUGGCCAGGCUGUCUCCACCCGAGACUCAGUGAAAUUGAACUCGCUGUGAAGAUGCAGUGUACCCGCGGCAAGACGGAAAGACCCCGUGAACCUUUACUAUAGCUUGACACUGAACAUUGAGCCUUGAUGUGUAGGAUAGGUGGGAGGCUUUGAAGCGUGGACGCCAGUCUGCGUGGAGCCAACCUUGAAAUACCACCCUUUAAUGUUUGAUGUUCUAACGUUGGCCCCUUACCGGGGUUGCGGACAGUGUCUGGUGGGUAGUUUGACUGGGGCGGUCUCCUCCCAAAGCGUAACGGAGGAGCACGAAGGUUAGCUAAUCCUGGUCGGACAUCAGGAGGUUAGUGCAAUGGCAUAAGCUAGCUUGACUGCGAGCGUGACGGCGCGAGCAGGUGCGAAAGCAGGUCAUAGUGAUCCGGUGGUUCUGAAUGGAAGGGCCAUCGCUCAACGGAUAAAAGGUACUCCGGGGAUAACAGGCUGAUACCGCCCAAGAGUUCAUAUCGACGGCGGUGUUUGGCACCUCGAUGUCGGCUCAUCACAUCCUGGGGCUGAAGUAGGUCCCAAGGGUAUGGCUGUUCGCCAUUUAAAGUGGUACGCGAGCUGGGUUUAGAACGUCGUGAGACAGUUCGGUCCCUAUCUGCCGUGGGCGCUGGAGAAUUGAGGGGGGCUGCUCCUAGUACGAGAGGACCGGAGUGGACGCAUCACUGGUGUUCGGGUUGUCAUGCCAAUGGCACUGCCCGGUAGCUAAAUGCGGAAGAGAUAAGUGCUGAAAGCAUCUAAGCACGAAACUUGCCCCGAGAUGAGUUCUCCCUGAGACUUUAAGUCUCCUGAAGGAACGUUAAAGACGAUGACGUUGAUAGGCCGGGUGUGUAAGCGCAGCGAUGCGUUGAGCUAACCGGUACUAAUGAACCGUGAGGCUUAACCU
rnacentral:rRNA from 1 species